rnacentral:rRNA from 1 species
UACGUAGGGUGCGAGCGUUGUCCGGAAUUAUUGGGCGGUAAAGGGCUCGUAGGCGGUCUGUUACGUCAGGAGGUGAAAACCUCGGGGCUCAACCCCGAGCCUGCUUCUGAUACGGGCAGACUGGAGGUAUGCAGGGGAGAACGGAAUUCCUGGUGUAGCGGUGAAAUGCGCAGAUAUCAGGAGGAACACCGGUGGCGAAGGCGGUUCUCUGGGCAUUACCUGACGCUGAGGAGCGAAAGUGUGGGGAGCGAACAGG